rnacentral:rRNA from 1 species
UCAAGUUAUUAAGGGUGCAGGGCGGAUGCCUUGGCACUAGGAGCCGAUGAAGGACGUGAUAAGCUGCGAUAAGCUUCGGGGAGUUGCACGUAAACUUUGAUCCGAAGAUUUCCGAAUGAGGAAACUCACUUAGAGUAAUGUCUAAGUAUCAUUAAGUGAAUACAUAGCUUAAUGAGGGGAACUCAGGGAACUGAAACAUCUAAGUACCUGAAGGAAGAGAAAGAAAUUCGAUUCCGUAAGUAGCGGCGAGCGAACGCGGAUUAGCCCAAACCAAUAAAGUUUUCUUUAUUGGGGUUGCGGACAUAUCAUAACGAAGAGGUAUCGUAAUUGAAGAGGUUUGGAAAGACCCACCACAGAAGGUAAUAGUCCUGUAUGUUAAACGAGAAGACUUCAGAUAUGAUCCAGAGUACCACGGGACACGUGAAACCCUGUGGGAAGCAGGAGGGACCACCCUCCAAGGCUAAAUACUACCUAGUGACCGAUAGCGUAUAGUACCGUGAGGGAAAGGUGAAAAGAACCCCGGGAGGGGAGUGAAAUAGAACCUGAAACCCUGCACUUACAAGCUGUGGAAGCACAUUUCUUGUGUGACCGCGUACUUUUUGUAGAACGGGCCAACGAGUUACGUUAAGUAGCAAGGUUAAGCACUUAAGGUGUGGAGCCGUAGCGAAAGCGAGUUUUAACUGAGCGUUCAGUUACUUGACGUAGACCCGAAACCGGGCGACCUACCCAUGAGCAGGAUGAAGCGAAAGUAAAAUUUCGUGGAGGUCCGAACCCACGAGCGUUGAAAAGCUCGGGGAUGACUUGUGGGUAGCGGUGAAAUUCCAAUCGAGCCCGGAGAUAGCUGGUUCUCCCCGAAAUAGCUUUAGGGCUAGCCUCAAGGUGAGAGAUACGGAGGUAGAGCACUGAAUGUCCUAGGGGGUAUUGCACCUACCGAAGACUAUCAAACUCCGAAUGCCGUCAUCUUAUACUUGGGAGUCAGACUGUGGGUGAUAAGAUUCAUAGUCGAAAGGGCAACAGCCCAGAUCGUCAGCUAAGGUCCCUAAAUGUAAGUUAAGUGGUAAAGGAUGUGGGAUUGCACAGACAACCAGGAUGUUGGCUUAGAAGCAGCCACUCAUUCAAAGAGUGCGUAAUAGCUCACUGGUCGAGUGAUCCUGCGCCGAAGAUUUCCGGGGCUAAAACUUACUACCGAAGCUACGGCAUCAGUAAUGAUGGGUAGGGGAGCUUCCCAUACGGGUUGAAGCAUGACCGUAAGGACAUGUGGACAGUAUGGGAGUGAGAAUGUUGGCAUGAGUAGCGAGAUGUGGGUGAGAAUCCCACAGGCCGUAAACCCAAGGUUUCCAGGGGAAGGUUCGUCCGCCCUGGGUUAGUCGGGACCUAAGCUGAGGCCGAAAGGCGUAGGUGAUGGACAACAGGUUGAUAUUCCUGUACUACCGAUAACCGUUUGAGAGAAGGGAUGACACAGUAGGAUAAGCUAAGCACACUGUUGGUUAUGUGUGCCCAAGCAUUGAGGCAGUCAAAGCAGGCAAAUCCGCUUUGAUAAUGCUGGGAUGUGAUGGGGAGCGAAAUUUAGUAGCGAAGUAGCUGAUUUCACACUGUCAAGAAAAGUCUCUAUCGAGGUUAAAGGUACCCGUACCGCAAACCGACACAGGUGGGUGAGGAGAGUAUCCUAAGGCCAGCGAGAGAACUGUUGUUAAGGAACUCGGCAAAAUGACCCCGUAACUUAGGGAUAAGGGGUGCCACCAUCCGGUGGCCGCAGAGAAUAGGCCCAAGCGACUGUUUACCAAAAACAUAGGUUUCUGCUAAGUCGCAAGACGAUGUAUAGGAGCUGACGCCUGCCCGGUGCUGGAAGGUUAAGGGGAUCUGUUAGAGCAAUCGAAGCAGUGAACUUAAGCCCCAGUAAACGGCGGCCGUAACUAUAACGGUCCUAAGGUAGCGAAAUUCCUUGUCGGGUAAGUUCCGACCCGCACGAAAGGCGUAACGAUUUGGGCACUGUCUCAACAACAGACUCGGUGAAAUUGUAAUUCCGGUGAAGAUGCCGGAUACCUGCGACAGGACGGAAAGACCCCAUGGAGCUUUACUGUAGCUUGACAUUGGGUCUUGGUACUACAUGUACAGGAUAGGUGGGAGGCUUUGAAACCAGGACGCCAGUUUUGGCGGAGCCAUCCUUGGGAUACCACCCUUGUAGUACUGGGACUCUAACCAUAGGCCAUGAAUCUGGUCUUGGGACACUGUCAGGUGGGCAGUUUGACUGGGGCGGUCGCCUCCCAAAAGGUAACGGAGGCGCUCAAAGGUUCUCUCAGUACGGUCGGAAAUCGUACGUAGAGUGUAAAGGCAAAAGAGAGCUUGAUUGCAAGACAUACAGGUCGAGCAAGGAUGAAAAUCGGACUUAGUGAUCCGGUGGUUCUGCGUGGAAGGGCCAUCGCUCAACGGAUAAAAGCUACCCUGGGGAUAACAGGCUUAUCUCCCCCAAGAGUCCACAUCGACGGGGAGGUUUGGCACCUCGAUGUCGGCUCAUCACAUCCUGGGGCUGUAGUAGGUCCCAAGGGUUGGGCUGUUCGCCCAUUAAAGUGGUACGCGAGCUGGGUUCAGAACGUCGUGAGACAGUUCGGUCCCUAUCCGUCGCAGGCGUAGGAAAUUUGAGAAGACCUGUCCUUAGUACGAGAGGACCGGGAUGGACGUACCUCUGGUGUACCAGUUGUUCUGCCAAGGGCAUGGCUGGGUAGCUAUGUACGGAAUGGAUAAGCGCUGAAAGCAUCUAAGCGCGAAGCCAACUUCAAGAUAAGAUUUCCCACCGCAAGGGUAAGACCCCAGAAAGACUAUCUGGUUGAUAGGUCGAAGGUGUAAGUGCAGCAAUGUAUUUAGCUUAUCGAUACUAAUAGGUCGAGGACUUGACCAA